GAGGAAUAUACAGACUUUGAGGCCCUUGCCUCUUAUUACGAAGAUCACUACUGGGUCCAAUACAGCAAGAACUUCAACAUAAAACACUUCCUUCUUACUUGUAUUGAGGACCCGAGGAUGAGGGCCAAGGAGAACAUUGCCCAAUACAGUUUAAUGCUCGACUCACUGG